CUAAGAAUCUUGCGCAAUGGGCGAAAGCCUGACGCAGCAAUUCCGCGUGGGGGACGAAGGCCCUCGGGUCGUAAACCCCUUUUGCGAGGGAAGAAGUUCUGACGGUACCUCGCGAAUAAGACACGGCUAACUACGUGCCAGCAGCCGCGGUAAUACGUAGGUGUCGAGCGUUGUCCGGAUUUAUUGGGCGUAAAGCGCCCGCAGGCGGCUUGCCAAGUUCGAGGUGAAAUCUCCCGGCUCAACUGGGAGGGUGCCUCGAAAACUGGCAGGCUUGAGUCAUGGAGAGGGAUGUGGAAUUCCCGGUGUAGUGGUGAAAUGCGUAGAUAUCGGGAGGAACACCAGUGGCGAAGGCGGCAUCCUGGCCAUGUACUGACGCUCAGGGGCGAAAGCGUGGGGAGCAAACCGGAUUAGAUACCCCCGUAGUCC
rnacentral:rRNA from 1 species